rnacentral:rRNA from 1 species
UUGAACGCUGGCGGCAUGCUUUACACAUGCAAGUCGAACGGUAACAGGUCUUCGGAUGCUGACGAGUGGCGAACGGGUGAGUAAUGCAUCGGAACGUGCCCAGUCGUGGGGGAUAACGCAGCGAAAGCUGUGCUAAUACCGCAUACGAUCUGCGGAUGAAAGCGGGAGACCUUAGGGCCUCGCGCGAUUGGAGCGGCCGAUGUCAGAUUAGGUAGUUGGUGGGGUAAAGGCCCACCAAGCCAACGAUCUGUAGCUGGUCUGAGAGGACGACCAGCCACACUGGGACUGAGACACGGCCCAGACUCCUACGGGAGGCAGCAGUGGGGAAUUUUGGACAAUGGACGCAAGUCUGAUCCAGCCAUUCCGCGUGCAGGAUGAAGGCCCUCGGGUUGUAAACUGCUUUUGUACGGAACGAAAAGGUCUCUCUUAAUACGGGGGGCUCAUGACGGUACCGUAAGAAUAAGCACCGGCUAACUACGUG